rnacentral:rRNA from 1 species
CCUACGGGUGGCUGCAGUGGGGAAUAUUGGACAAUGGGGGCAACCCUGAUCCAGCCAUGCCGCGUGUGUGAAGAAGGCCCUCGGGUUGUAAAGCACUUUCAGUGAGGAAGAACGCCUGGUGGUUAAUACCCAUCAGGAAAGACAUCACUCACAGAAGAAGCACCGGCUAACUCCGUGCCAGCAGCCGCAGUAAUACGGAGGGUGCGAGCGUUAAUCGGAAUUACUGGGCGUAAAGCGCGCGUAGGUGGCUUGAUAAGCCGGUUGUGAAAGCCCCGGGCUCAACCUGGGAACGGCAUCCGGAACUGUCAAGCUAGAGUGCAGGAGAGGAAGGUAGAAUUCCCGGUGUAGCGGUGAAAUGCGUAGAGAUCGGGAGGAAUACCAGUGGCGAAGGCGGCCUUCUGGACUGACACUGACACUGAGGUGCGAAAGCGUGGGUAGCAAACAGGAUUAGAUACCCCGGUAGUC